rnacentral:rRNA from 1 species
CGGAGGAAAAGAAACCAACCGGGAUUGCCUUAGUAACGGCGAGUGAAGCGGCAAAAGCUCAAAUUUGAAAUCUGGUACCUUCGGUGCCCGAGUUGUAAUUUGGAGAGGGCAACUUUGGGGCCGUUCCUCGUCUAUGUUCCUUGGAACAGGACGUCAUAGAGGGUGAGAAUCCCGUGUGGCGAGGAGUGCGGUUCUUUGUAAAGUGCCUUCGAAGAGUCGAGUUGUUUGGGAAUGCAGCUCUAAGUGGGUGGUAAAUUCCAUCUAAAGCUAAAUAUUGGCGAGAGACCGAUAGCGAACAAGUACAGUGAUGGAAAGAUGAAAAGAACUUUGAAAAGAGAGUGAAAAAGUACGUGAAAUUGUUGAAAGGGAAGGGCAUUUGAUCAGACAUGGUGUUUUGUGCCCUCUGCUCCUUGUGGGUAGGGGAAUCUCGCAUUUCACUGGGCCAGCAUCAGUUUUGGUGGCAGGAUAAAUCCAUAGGAAUGUAGCUUGCCUCGGUAAGUAUUAUAGCCUGUGGGAAUACUGCCAGCUGGGACUGAGGACUGCGACGUAAG